rnacentral:tRNA from 1 species
GACCUGUUAGUUGAAAAACAAUAAAGAAUUGCAGAUUCUUAGGUACUAAAGAGUACAGGUUU